AGCUCCAAUAGCGUAUAUUAAAGUUGUUGCCGUUAAAAAGCUCGUAGUCGAACUUCGGCUCCUGCCGGUCGGUCCGCCUUCUUGGUGUGUACUUACUCGGCGGGAGCUUACCUCCUGGUGAGCUGUCAUGCCCUUUACUGGGUGUGGCAGGGAACCAGGACUUUUACUUUGAAAAAAUUAGAGUGUUCAAAGCAGGCCUUUGCCCGAAUACAUUAGCAUGGAAUAAUAAAAUAGGACGCGCGUUCCCAUUUUGUUGGUUUAUGAGAUCGCCGUAAUGAUUAAUAGGGAUAGUUGGGGGCAUUUGUAUUCCGUCGUCAGAGGUGAAAUUCUUGGAUUGCCGGAAGACAAACUACUGCGAAAGCAUUUGCCAAGGAUGUUUUCA
rnacentral:rRNA from 1 species